GCCGGGUGUGGUGACGCAUGCCUGUGAUCCCAGCAGCUUGGGAGGCUGAGACAGGAGGAUCGUGAGUUCAAAGCCAGCCUCAGCAACUUAGAGAGGUGCUCAGCAACUCAGUGAGACCCUGUCUCUA
rnacentral:sRNA from 1 species